GACGAACGCUGGCGGCGUGCUUAACACAUGCAAGUCGAACGGAGAGGCCCUGCUUUUGUGGGGUGCUCGAGUGGCGAAAGGGUGAGUAACACGUGAGUAACCUGCCCUUGACUUUGGGAUAACUUCAGGAAACUCGGGCUAAUAACGGAUAGGUGCACCUGCUGCAUGGUGGGGGUUGGAAAGUUUCGGCGGUUGGGGCUGGACUCGCGGCUUAUCAGCUUGUUGGUGGGGUGGUGGCUUACCAAGGCUUUGACGGGUAGCCGGCCUGAGAGGGUGACCGGCCACAUUGGGACUGAGAUACGGCCCAGACUCCUACGGGAGGCAGCAGUGGGGAAUAUUGCACAAUGGGCGGAGGCCUGAUGCAGCAGCGCAGCGUGCGGGAAGACGGCCUUCGGGUUGUAAACCGCUUUCGCCUGUAACGAAGCGUGAGUGACGGUAAUGGGUAAAGAAGCACCGGCUAACUACGUG
rnacentral:rRNA from 1 species